rnacentral:ncRNA from 1 species
AUAAAGUUUUAUUUUAGCUUAAAAAUUUAUUUUUAGUUUUAUUUAUAUGUAAAUAUUUGUGUGAAUUUUUAUUAAUUUUAAUAAUUAAUAAUAUUUAUUUAUUCGCAGUAAUUAAAAUUAUAAAUUAAAGAAAUUUAGAUAUAGAAAUAUUUGAUAGUAUUUACAAAAUUUGUGCCAGCAGUUGCGGUUAUACGAAUGAUGCAAAUAAAUUUAUUUAGUUAAAGUUAAAUUGAUUUAUUAAAAUAAUAAUAAAUUUAUUAGGUGAAAUUUUAAAUUUAUUAAAUUUUUUCAAAAAAUUAAUUGAUUCUUAAAAAUUUUAUAAAUAAACUAGGAUUAGAUACCCUAUUAUUUAAAAUGUAAUUAAAUUAAUUAAGGUAGUAUUAGUUAUGGACUUGAAACUUAAAAAAUUUGGCGGUAUUUUAGUCUAUUCAGAGGAACUUGUUCUGUAAUCGAUAAUCCACGAUGGACCUUACUUAUUUUUGUAAUCAGUUUAUAUACCGUUGUUAUUUGAAAAUUUUAUAAGAAUGAUAAUUUUCUUAAUUUUUUAUAGAAAAAAUAUCAGAUCAAGGUGUAGCUUAUAAUUAAGUAGAAAUGAGUUACAAUAAAUUUAUUUAAACGAAUAUAAAUAUGAAAAAUUUAUUGAAGGUGGAUUUGAUAGUAAAAUUAUAAAGAUAAAUAAUUUGAUUUUAGCUCUAAAAUAUGUACACAUCGCCCGUCACUCUUAUUAUUAAAAUAAGAUAAGUCGUAACAUAGUAGAUGUACUGGAAAGUGUAUCUAGAAUGC